rnacentral:rRNA from 1 species
GGAGUCUGGGCCGUGUCUCAGUCCCAAUGUGGCCGUUCACCCUCUCAGGCCGGCUACCGAUCGUCGCCUUGGUGGGCCUCUACCCCCCCAACUAGCUAAUCGGACGCGGGCCCAUCGGAAAGCGGAUUAGAUCCUUUAAUAUACAAGGCAUGCGCCUUAUAUACAACAUUCGGUAUUAGCACCCCUUUCGGGAUGUUGUCCCCAUCUUUCCGGCAGGUUGCCCACGCGUUACUCACCCGUUUGCCACUAGGCUCAUAAAAGCAAGCUUUCAAUCGCCCCGUUCGACUUGCAUGUGUUAAGCACGCCGCCAGCGUUCGUCCUCGAGCCACUGAUCAAACUACU